rnacentral:rRNA from 1 species
UUGGAGGGCAAGUCUGGUGCCAGCAGCCGCGGUAAUUCCAGCUCCAAUAGCGUAUAUUAAAGUUGUUGCAGUUAAAAAGCUCGUAGUUGAACCUUAGGCCCGUGCGGGCGGUCCGUCCUCUGGGCGAGCACUGCUCCGUCGCGGGUCUCACCUUCUGGCGAGCGUGGAUGCCAUUUAUUUGGUGUCCGCGGGAACCAGGACCUUUACCUUGAAAAAAUUAGAGUGCUCAAAGCGGGCUCCGACGCUUGAAUACAUUAGCAUGGAAUAAUGAAAUAGGACGAUGGUUCUAUUUUGUUGGUUUCCGGGACCGUCGUAAUGAUUAAUAGGGAUAGUUGGGGGCAUUCGUAUUCAAUUGUCAGAGGUGAAAUUCUUGGAUUUAUUGAAGACGAACUACUGCGGAAGCAUUUGCCAAGGAUGUUUUCAUUAAUCAAGAACGAAAGUUGGGGGAUCGAAGACGAUCAGAUACCGUCGUAGUCUCAACCAUAAACUAUGCCGACUGGGAAUCGGGCGAUGUUACUUUUCUGACUCGCUCGGCGCCCCGAGGGAAACCAAAGUGUUUGGGUUC